AACUGCCUCGACUCUGUGGCAACUGCCUCGACCCCGAGGCAGCUGAUCUCAUUAUCACUUCCCUUUCUUUUAGAAAGAUACCAACAGCCCUUCAAUAACUGUGUCAACGACGGCACCCGAUUUGGAAUGGUCCAUUAGGCCUGAUGAAAAGGGGAAAUUUGAGGCCAUUUUUGAGACUCUGGGCCCUGUAAAUGGUCUCCUCUCGGGUGAUAAAAACAAGCCAGUUUUAAUUAACUACAAGCUACCUCUUGACGCCUUAGGAAAGAUUUGGGACCUGAGUGAUGUGGACAACGAUGGACAGUUGGACAGAGAAGAAUUCACAGUGGCGAGGCAUCUUGUGUAUCGUGCCAUGGAAAAGGAGCCUGUCCCAACUACCUUACCCACCUCCCUCAUCCCCCCUUCCAAAAGGAAGAAGAAGUCUGCCGGUGCGCUGCCAGGCGCUGUGGCUGUGCUGCCCUCUCUCCCCGGGCUUACUGCCGGCCUGGCUCCUCUCAAGGAGCCCCUGCGAAGCACUCCUCCUCUGGUGCACGCGACUCCCUUCAGCACCAGCACUGUCAACCUCUCCCCAAAACACUCCUUUAAGUCCAGCUCACCGGUGCGUCGCCUCGCUUACAUUGCACCUGAGGUGUGGCGAGCUCACCGUUCGCAUCGAUUCACCUGUAGAUGAUGGAGUCCUCUCUCUGUAAGCUUUGCAAAUGAUUGAAAGGAAUAUUACAAUUUUAUUAGGAACACAUAUACAUCUCAAAAUUUAAACUAUAGAAAACAUUCAAAGAUGACGCUACAUAACGUCAACCUACUUUUCCUUUUUCCAUGAACAAUUCUAUAUAUAAAAAAAGCUCUUAUCAACAAUAGACUUUUUAGCAUUUUGUGAAAUUAUAUGUAUUAUAUAUGUGUGUGUGUGUGUGUGGAUUCAAAUGAUACAGAAGGGUCCUUGCUCGGGAAAGUUUUCCUAUUAACAUUUUCUCUCUGGCUCCUGAAAGACAAACAUAAUUUAAUGGAAUCGAGGGACGAGUAUCUUGAAUUGUGUUAUCAUUCUUUAGAAAAAUUAUACUUAGUACUGUGGCAAUGCCUUGAGGGGAAUGUGUCCCCUGUGGCAUAAUAAAGUGUAAGGAAUAUAUACAUCAGAAGAUUAUCUGUAUAUCAUGGCCUUUAGAAAUGACAGCAUCCACACUGUCACUUUGAUAGUUUCUUUUGUUUAUACUGCUAUAAUCCCUGUAAACAACAGUGGACUAAAAAGCCAAAGACAUCUAACAGAACUAGAUGUACAAAUAUGUGGGCAUGUUUAUUAUUUUAACAUUUGUUUUUUUAAACAUAAAACAAUAAAGUUUUUCGCAUGAGAUUUCUUUUGUCCAAUUGCAAAACAGAAUAAAGUUACA